rnacentral:rRNA from 1 species
AGCUGAACAGCUAGCCCAACCCUCCCUAAUCAACACAUCUUUAUUUAUACCCCCUCAUGCACUAGAGCUAACUUAACUAAACCAUUCUCCCUUCUUAGUAUAGGCGAUAGAAAAGAAC